CCUACGGGCGGCUGCAGUCGAGGAUCUUCGUCAAUGGGCGCAAGCCUGAACGAGCGAUGCCGCGUGAGCGAUUGAAGGCCUUCGGGUUGUAAAGCUCAAAAGGGGUGAGAAAGGGGCAACCUUGAUCGAACCCCAGUAAGCUCGGGCUAAGUUCGUGCCAGCAGCCGCGGUAAGACGAACCGAGCGAACGUUGUUCGGAAUCACUGGGCUUAAAGGGCGCGUAGGCGGGCUCGCCAGUCUGCGGUGAAAUCCUCCAGCUCAACUGGAGAACGGCCGUGGAUACUGCGAGUCUCGAGGGAGGUAGGGGCGUGCGGAACAGAUGGUGGAGCGGUGAAAUGCGUUGAUAUCAUCUGGAACUCCGGUGGCGAAGGCGGCACGCUGGACCUCUUCUGACGCUGAGGCGCGAAAGCCAGGGGAGCAAACGGGAUUAGAUACCCUUGUAGUC
rnacentral:rRNA from 1 species